rnacentral:tRNA from 2 species
GUUUUAAUAGUUUAAUUUAAAACUUUGGUCUUGUAUACCAAUAAUGAACCUUAUAUUCUUAAAACU